CCUACGGGAGGCAGCAGUGAGGAAUAUUGGUCAAUGGACGAGAGUCUGAACCAGCCAAGUAGCGUGAAGGAUGACUGCCCUAUGGGUUGUAAACUUCUUUUAUAAAGGAAUAAAACGAGGCACGUGUGCCUUUUUGCAUGUACUUUAUGAAUAAGGAUCGGCUAACUCCGUGCCAGCAGCCGCGGUAAUACGGAGGAUCCGAGCGUUAUCCGGAUUUAUUGGGUUUAAAGGGAGCGUAGAUGGGUUGUUAAGUCAGUUGUGAAAGUUUGCGGCUCAACCGUAAAAUUGCAAUUGAUACUGGCAGUCUUGAGUACAGUUGAGGUAGGCGGAAUGCGUGGUGUAGCGGUGAAAUGCUGAGAUAUCACGAAGAACCCCGAUUGCGAAGGCAGCUUACUAAACUGUGACUGACAUUGAUGCUCGAAAGUGUGGGUAUCGAACAGGAUUAGAUACCCUUGUAGUC
rnacentral:rRNA from 1 species